GCUAAGAAUAUUCCGCAAUGGACGAAAGUCUGACGGAGCGACGCCGCGUGGAUGACGAAGGCCGAAAGGUUGUAAAAUCCUUUUGCUGAUGAAGAAUAAGCGUGGUAGGGAAUGACCGCGUGAUGACAUUAGUCGGUGAAUAAGCCCCGGCUAACUACGUGCCAGCAGCCGCGGUAACACGUAGGGGGCAAGCGUUGUUCGGAAUUAUUGGGCGUAAAGGGCAUGUAGGCGGUUUGGUAAGCCUGAUGUGAAAUCCUGCAGCUUAACUGUAGAACUGCAUUGGGUACUGCCGAACUUGAAUCACUGAGGGGAAACUAGAAUUCCAGGUGUAGGGGUGGAAUCUGUAGAUAUCUGGAAGAAUACCGGUGGCGAAGGCGGGUUUCUAGCAGAUGAUUGACGCUGAGGUGCGAAAGUGCGGGGAGCGAACAGGAUUAGAAACCCUAGUAGUCC
rnacentral:rRNA from 1 species